UAACCGGAAAGAAAAUAAACAUGCCUCAUCAUCGAUCUCUUUUGUUAAAAAGAAAAAACGUCUUGUACACCGCCGCCUGCUUGCUCCCGUCGAUGCCAGCUGCUUGAUUCCCUCGCCACUGCCGUAUACACUCGGGAGUAGAGGAAAGCCAAGGUCUAGGUACCGUCAUCACUGCCAGGAGGAGCAGGAGUAAGUGGGACCAUCCUCCGGCACCGACUCGGCGGCAUCCUCCACCGGCCGCAUCGGUGGUCGCCCCCUCUCUACCCCGUCCGGCGGGGAGGAGUGCCUGCGUGGUCUUGCUUGCAGAGUGUACGCCGUAGCCACCUCCUCUGCAGGUGGCAGAGCGUGAGUCGUCGCCCUUGUUGUCUACACCGCCAGGAGCAAGCCGGAAUUAAGGUUCAGUACGGACCUCGAAACCAGACGUCGAUGUACACUAAUCUUUCCUAUAGAAUCCUAUUUCCAUUCUAACCUUGGACUUCCCCUAAUAUAGUAUACGAAACCGCACAUUCUCACAUGUUGAAAGACACUGAACCGGACUUCAAGUCUAUAAAACGUCAGUUACAUAUAGGUGUUUCAAGGAAACAUCGAGUGCGAUGUACCUUGGAGAAUAGGAGUUG
rnacentral:rRNA from 1 species